rnacentral:rRNA from 1 species
AUGAUCAAUCAAAUUAUUCAUAAUGCUCGAACGGGCUUCAUCAAAGGUCGCGGGAUCGCUAAAAGUUUUGUCCACGCGGCAGACAUCAUCCAGACUUGCUUUAAAAGGAGAUCCUCGGCUAUUGUUCUGAAACUAGAUUUUCACAAAGCCUUUGAUUCCGUAUCUUGGGAGGCCCUGUCUUUCAUUAUGUGUGCCAAAGGUUUCCUGUCAACCUGGUACCGUUGGAUCGAGGAUUUGAACAAGUCUGCAAACUCGGUUGUUUUGCUGAAUGGAAAACCAGGACCUUGGUUCCAAUGUCAUGAGGGGCUGCGGCAAGGAGACUCAGUUUCACCCUAUCUUUUUAUCAUUAUCACAGACAUAUUAAAAUGGCUAAUUAUUCAAGAUGCUCAUGACGGGUAUCUUACUCACCCUCUGGACGAAAAUCCUCUUUGCAUCGUCCUCCAAUACACUGAUGACACGCUUAUCGUCCUCCCGCCUAACGCUGCCUAG